rnacentral:rRNA from 1 species
GACGUAGGGCGCGAGCGUUGUCCGGAUUUAUUGGACGUAAAGAGCUCGUAGGCGGCUUGUCGCGUCGAAUGUGAAAACUCGGGGCUCAACCCCGCGCUUGCAUUCGAUACGGGCAGGCUCGAGUUCGGUAGGGGAGACUGGAAUUCCUGGUGUAGCGGUGAAAUGCGCAGAUAUCAGGAGGAACACCGGUGGCGAAGGCGGGUCUCUGGGCCGAUACUGACGCUGAGGAGCGAAAGCGUGGGGAGCAAACAGG